GAUGAAGAACGCAGCGAAAUGCGAUAAGUAGUGUGAAUUGCAGAAUUCAGUGAAUCAUCGAAUCUUUGAACGCACAUUGCGCCCCUUGGUAUUCCAUGGGGCAUGCCUGUUCGAGCGUCAUUUGUACCUUCAAGCUUUGCUUGGUGUUGGGUGUUUGUCUCGCCUUUGCGUGUAGACUCGCCUUAAAAUAAUUGGCAGCCGGCGUAUUGAUUUCGGAGCGCAGUACAUCUCGCGCUUUGCACUCAUAACGACAGCGUCCAAAAGUACAUUUUACACUCUUGACCUCGGAUCAGGUAGGGAUACCCGCUGAACUUAAGCAUAUCAAAUAAGCGGAGGA
rnacentral:misc_RNA from 1 species